rnacentral:rRNA from 1 species
UACAGAGGUCUCAAGCGUUGUUCGGAUUCAUUGGGCGCAAAGGGUGCGUAGGCGGCGCGGUAAGUCGGGUGUGAAAUCUCGGGGCUUAACUCCGAAACUGCAUUCGAUACUGCCGUGCUUGAGGACUGGAGAGGAGACUGGAAUUUACGGUGUAGCGGUGAAAUGCGUAGAUAUCGUAAGGAAGACCAGUGGCGAAGGCGGGUCUCUGGACAGUUCCUGACGCUGAGGCACGAAGGUCAGGGGAGCAAACGGG